CUCCUCCCUCCCAGAUAAAAAAAAAACCAAUCAUCAAUAUAUCGUCUAUAGCGGACUAGAUUCGCAACCCAGGGAUGUAUAGAGGGCUAGAUUUGCAACCCAGGGAUGUAUAGAGGACUGGAUUCGCUACCCAGGGAUGUAUAGAGGACUGGAUUCGCUACCCAGGGAUGUAUAGAGGACUGGAUUCGCUACCCAGGGAUGUAUAGAGGACUGGAUUCGCUACCCAGGGAUGUAUAGAGGACUAGAUUUGCAACCCAGGGAUGUAUAGUGGACUAGAUUCACAACUUUAUACAAAGUUCAUGGGACUAAAGCAACUCUGAAUCCGAAAACUGUAUAUUAAUCUCCUGUUUUUUUGCUAGAGACAUAGUCACAUAGCAUUUCUCACAUCUUUUUUUUGCUGUUGAUCAAAAGGAAUGCAAAAAAAAUUCAGUUUGAG